rnacentral:sRNA from 1 species
GAGGAGGAAUCUCGCACAGCGACCGCCA